GCCUACGGGGCGCAGCAGUGAGGAAUAUUGGUCAAUGGCCGAGAGGCUGAACCAGCCAAGUCGCGUGAGGGAAGACGGCCCUACGGGUUGUAAACCUCUUUUGUCGGGGAGCAAAGAAAGUCACGUGUGACUCAUUGAGAGUACCCGAAGAAAAAGCAUCGGCUAACUCCGUGCCAGCAGCCGCGGUAAUACGGAGGAUGCGAGCGUUAUCCGGAUUUAUUGGGCCCCCCCCCCCCCCCCCCCCC
rnacentral:rRNA from 1 species